GACGAACGCUGGCGGCGUGCCUAAUACAUGCAAGUCGAGCGCAGGAAACUGACGGAACUCUUCGGAGGGAAGGCAGCGGAAUGAGCGGCGGACGGGUGAGUAACACGUAAGGAACCUGCCUCAAGGAUUGGGAUAACUCCGAGAAAUCGGAGCUAAUACCGGAUAGUUCAUCGGACCGCAUGGUCCGUUGAUGAAAGGCGCUUCGGCGUCACCUUGAGAUGGCCUUGCGGUGCAUUAGCUAGUUGGUGGGGUAACGGCCCACCAAGGCGACGAUGGAGGGCCGACCUGAGGGGUAGAUCUGCCACACUGGGACUGAGAAACGGCCCAGACUACUACGGGAGGCAGCAGUAGGGAAUCUUCCACAAUGGACGAAAGUCUGAUGGAGCAACGCCGCGUGAGUGAUGAAGGUUUUCGGAUCGUAAAACUCUGUUGUAAGGGAAGAACACGUACGAGAGGGAAUGCACGUACCUUGACGGUACCUUACGAGAAAGCCACGGCUAACUACGUGCCAGCCGCCGCCGUAA
rnacentral:rRNA from 1 species